rnacentral:rRNA from 1 species
UACGUAGGGGGCUAGCGUUGUCCGGAUUUAUUGGGCGUAAAGAGCGUGUAGGCGGCCAGGUAGGUCUGGUGUGAAAACUCGAGGCUUAACCUCGAGAUGUCAUCGGAAACCAUCUGGCUAGAGUCCGGAAGAGGAGAGUGGAAUUCCUGGUGUAGCGGUGGAAUGCGCAGAUAUCAGGAGGAACACCUAUAGCGAAGGCAGCUCGCUGGGACGACACUGACGCUGAGACGCGAAAGCGUGGGGAGCGAACAGG